rnacentral:rRNA from 1 species
GGUACGCACUACUGUCGGCCGGCUCGCGUGCCGGUUUUCCCGUCGUGGCCUUCGCCGGUCGCGGCGGGUGGCUGGCGAGUUUACUUUGAGAAAAUCAGAGUGCUCAACACAGGCGUCUAGCUUGAAUGAUUGUGCAUGGAAUAAUGGAAAAGGAUCACGGUCCUCUUUUAUUGGUUUUGUGGACUGAGAUAAUGGUUAACAGGGACAAACGGGGGCAUUCGUAUCGCUGCGUGAGAGGUGAAAUUCUUGGACCGUAGCGAGACGCCCGACUGCGAAAGCAUUUGCCAAGAAUGUCUUCAUUAAUCAAGAACGAAAGUCAGAGGUUCGAAGGCGAUCAGAUACCGCCCUAGUUCUGACCGUAAACGAUGCCAACUAGCGAUUCGCCGGUGGAUUUCACGCCCUGGUGAGUAGCUUCCCGGAAACGAAAGUCUUCCGGUUCCGGGGGAAGUAUGGUUGCAAAGCUGAAACUUAAAGGAAUUGACGGAAGGGCACCACCAGGAGUGGAGCCUGCGGCUUAAUUUGACUCAACACGGGGAAGCUCACCCGGCCCGGACACCGUGAGGAUUGACAGAUUGAGAGCUCUUUCAUGAUUCGGUGGUUGGUGGUGCAUGGCCGUUCUUAGUUCGUGGAUCGAUUUGUCUGGUUUAUUCCGAUAACGAGCGAGACUCUAGCCUACUAAAUAGCCGCGAUAUUACUUUAACUGUGUCGCGCGCUUCUUAGAGGGAUUCGCGG